GCCAACGCAGGCGCGCCCCCGCUCGGAGACUGUCUGGAGUCUGUCUGAAAUUGAUAAAAUUGAAGAUGGAGACUUUUUUUAAACGCGUCUCUCCGCUCGACCAGGGGGGGGGGGUGAAACGUGACGACCGCAGCCGGAAACCCUCGCUCUCCUGCCCGGGGAGGACUUCGCGCAGGAGGCGCCGCGUUGAGCUCCCAAAACAAAAACAUUUGUGGGAUAAACGCUGUGAAAGUUUUUUCUCCCGCAGUGUGACAGCAGACAGGUCUUUAUGCUCAGGCAGGGGAUCAGCCCUUCAGCCCCCAGAGUUCAAGAGGAGUGCUUCCAGCUUCCAGCAUGCAGCAGGACAAAAAGGCUUGUCCCAAACCUGAUCCAGGGUCUUGCAAUGAGAAAGGAGAUCCAUGGUUUCUUGAAGUCUGUCACCCCUUCAUGUCUUUGACGCUGGAGUGCAGUCUGCCCAAAUGUGUAGAGAGUUGGUGGUGGACUACGAGGAAGAUGUCAUGCUAAGGAUGGGUUUUGGUGAUGAUGUCGCUGCUGUUGAUGCAGCAUCGAGCUCUCACUUUGUGCCUCUGUCAGCUAUGAUGCGUAACCACACAGUGAGUGACAGGCCCGUCCCCGGGGAGAGCAAGGGGCCUGAGAAGCGCAGGCUCUUUUCAGAAGCGGCGUGGAGGACUGACCGUCGUGAAGACGCUGCUGGGAGCAGCCCUAUCUGCUCUAAUGGUAGUCACCGGCCGUUAGACAUGAUGUUCAAAGACUAGUGGCGCAAGUAUGGAAAUGCAGAUAAGGCAUUGUUGGGGAAACAUGCCUGGGAAUUGUUUAAGGCUUUCUCUCCUUUUGCAUAAUGUUGGAUGCUUUUGCCAAUGUUUUAAUCUCAAAACCUGUAAAUUAGAUCCUCCCCGAAUCAACACAGAAUGAGAGACUGUUUGUUAUGCUGUGAAAAUCCAUGUUUGUGAUUAAAUCUGUGAAUAUUUGAAAAUUUUAUUGUAUGCAUUUCUUUUUUUUAAGCCCGUAAUACUGCAGAUUGGUCCCAUUUACUGUUUUAACCAAAUGUUAUUUAUUAAGCAUUUUUAGGAGAUGAACAUUUGUUGAUGUAAACAUGUCAGAAACUUUGUGUAUAAUCUUCAAGCUUUAUUUACUCUUCUUUUGCUGUUUUCAGGAGGCAGUUAAUUACACAAUUAAUACAUGAUACAAAUUAUGUACAUUUAUACCAAAGAAUACUUCCAACAUAAAAUA